rnacentral:pre_miRNA from 1 species
AAUGUACUCCCUCUGUCCGAAAAUACUUGUCAUCAAAAUGGACAAAAAGGGAUGUAUCUAAAACUAAAAUACAUCUAGAUACAUCCCAUUUUAUUCAUUUUGAUGACAAGUAUUUCCGGACGGAGGGAGUAUAUU